UACGUAUGGUGCAAGCGUUAUCCGGAUUUACUGGGUGCAAAGGGAGCGCAGGCGGCACGGCAAGCCUGAUGUGAAAGCCCGCGGCCCAACCGCGGGACUGCAUUGGGAACUACCGGGCUGGAGUGCCGGAGAGGUAGGCGGAAUUCCUAGUGUAGCGGUGAAAUGCGUAGAUAUUAGGAGGAACACCAGUGGCGAAGGCGGCCUACCGGACGGUGACUGACGCUGAGGCUCGAAAGCGUGGGGAGCAAACAGG
rnacentral:rRNA from 1 species